rnacentral:rRNA from 1 species
GACGAACGCUGGCGGCGUGCUUAACACAUGCAAGUCGAACGGUAAUGCCCCAGCUUGCUGGGGUACACGAGUGGCGAACGGGUGAGUAACACGUGGGUGACCUGCCCCGCACUUCGGGAUAAGCCUGGGAAACUGGGUCUAAUACCGGAUAGGACCGCACCGUGAGGGUGUGGUGGAAAGUUUUUCGGUGUGGGAUGGGCCCGCGGCCUAUCAGCUUGUUGGUGGGGUAAUGGCCUACCAAGGCGGCGACGGGUAGCCGGCCUGAGAGGGUGGACGGCCACAUUGGGACUGAGACACGGCCCAGACUCCUACGGGAGGCAGCAGUGGGGAAUAUUGCACAAUGGGCGGAAGCCUGAUGCAGCGACGCCGCGUGGGGGAUGACGGCCUUCGGGUUGUAAACUCCUUUCACCAUCGACGAAGGUUUUCUGACGGUAGAUGGAGAAGAAGCACCGGCUAACUACGUG